GAUGAACGCUGGCGGCGUGCCUAAUACAUGCAAGUCGAGCGAACAGACGAGAAGCUUGCUCCUCUGAUGUUAGCGGCGGACGGGUGAGUAACACGUGGAUAACCUACCUAUAAGACUGGGAUAACUUCGGGAAACCGGAGCUAAUACCGGAUAAUAUUUUGAACCGCAUGGUUCAAUAGUGAAAGACGGUCUUGCUGUCACUUAUAGAUGGAUCCGCGCUGCAUUAGCUAGUUGGUAAGGUAACGGCUUACCAAGGCAACGAUGCAUAGCCGACCUGAGAGGGUGAUCGGCCACACUGGAACUGAGACACGGUCCAGACUCCUACGGGAGGCAGCAGUAGGGAAUCUUCCGCAAUGGGCGAAAGCCUGACGGAGCAACGCCGCGUGAGUGAUGAAGGUCUUCGGAUCGUAAAACUCUGUUAUUAGGGAAGAACAAAUGUGUAAGUAACUGUGCACAUCUUGACGGUACCUAAUCAGAAAGCCACGGCUAACUACGUG
rnacentral:rRNA from 1 species